ensembl:lncRNA
AACAAGAGAAGGGUUUGAUGCAUGGUUGUUAUCAUGGAAGAGGAAGAAACUCAGAAUAGUCUCUCAAAGUUGAGAACAACCCCUAGCCAUUAAGCCACAAGGAAACAGGGACCUUGGUCCUGCAAUGACAGGAACAGAUUCUGCCAACAGCUGAAAUCAACUGAAAAGUGGUUUCUUCCCCGAAGCCUCCAGGAAAGAGCCCAGCCAACAUCUUGAUUUGGGUCUGUGACACCCUCAGAGGAGGACCCAAUUGAGUCUGUCCGGCUACUGUGAGACAAUAAAGGGGUGUUGUUUCAAGCUUCUAAGUUCAUGUUAAUUUGCUCAGGCAGCAGAAGGAAAAUAGCCCAGGCAAGCUGCAGAUAAAGUGAGUUAAGUAGCCUACUGGUGCAUAGUAGAAAAAGAACUUGAGAAUACGAAACUCAUUGCUUCCUUUGGAGCCGCGUUUCUCAAAUUUUAAGAAGGAAAUGGCAAGCCACUCCAAUGUCCUUGCCUGGAGAAUCCCAGGGACGGGGGAGCCUGGUGGGCUGCCGUCUAUGGGGUCGCAUAGAGUCGGACAUGAGUGAAGUGACUUAGCAGCAGCAGCAGCCAAGCAAGAGACAUGGAUUCGAUCCCUGGGUGGGGAAGAUCCCCUGGAAGAGGGAAUGGCAACCCACUCCUAUACUCUUGCCUGGGAAAUCCCAUGGACAGAGGUGCCUGAUGGUGGUCCCAAUGAGUCAAACAGAAAUAAGUGACUAACACUUUCAGUGUAAGUCUAAGAAGCAUUGCCUCAGAUCAGACAGUUCAGAAAUCCAGAGAGAUGGAAUGAUUAGCUACAGAGGUUGACAAACCACAGCCUGUGGGAAAGGUCUGGCCACUGCCUGCUUUUGUAAAUAAAGUUUUCUUGGUGCACAGCCACAUCUAUUCACCUCUAUGUAUCGCAGGAGCUGCUGCAGUGGCAGAGUUGAGGCGAGGCAGCCAAGCCCGAAUAUCCUACAA